CGAAGGGGCUAGCGUUGUUCGGAAUUACUGGGCGUAAAGGGCGCGUAGGCGGUGUGUCAAGUCAGGCGUGAAAGCCCCGGGCUCAACCUGGGAACAGCGCUUGAGACUGGCACGCUCGAGUUCGGGAGAGGAUGGUGGAAUUCCCAGUGUAGAGGUGAAAUUCGUAGAUAUUGGGAAGAACACCGAUGGCGAAGGCAGCCAUCUGGACCGACACUGACGCUGAGGCGCGAAAGCGUGGGGAGCAAACAGGAUU
rnacentral:rRNA from 1 species